rnacentral:lncRNA from 1 species
AGCUUGCCUUUUCUUUGUCCAAUGUUGGAACCAGAGCCCACUGCUGAUCGUAUUGUGGCUGGAGUUCUCAAUGAUGAGACACAUAUUUUUAUUCCACGGAGACUGUUUCUUUUGGUUGCUUUAAAGCAGCUCAUCCCUGCAAAUGUUGGGUAUAUUCUUUCAGAUUAUUUGCAAAUGGAAGCACAAAUGACUGGUUUUGUCGGAAGAAAAAAAA